UGUAGUGUAAAAUGCUUUGAGUGCUCAAACAAGGUAAAAAAGCAUUAUAAUAGAACCAAUCCCGUUACCAUUCACUGAAUACCUACUACUACUGUUACUACCUCUUCAGCUGCUCCUGACACUGCCAGCAGGAGAAAUGAAACAUGAGUAAACAUGUCUUUUCCAGACUUAAAGACCAGUGGGUACAAAUUACCCAAUGUCUGCAUUUGUGGCUCAUUGUUAUUCUUUUCUUCUGUUUCUCCAGAGUAAAAUCUCACUUUGCUGUUUGAUUUGUCACAUUUGCCCCCACCCCUCUUCACUCUCCACCCUCUCAUAGAAAAUUAAUCAGCGCACACACACAAACACCAGCACACACCCCUCUCCGGAGGCUGGUCUGUCAUCGGCUCUUCCUGUUUGUUGGCUGCAGCUGUAGCCUGCGUUGCCGUGACGUUGCACCGGUCGAUUCUCGUCCCAGUGCGGUGGGAAAGCACAGAGACAGAAAAAGGCAGCUAAAUGAGACAGACUGGCAGAGAGACGAUUCAUGCCUGGGUACCUCGGCACUGACAUAAGGCUCUUUGGAGAUUGAGGAAUGCAAAUCUGCAACCAUGAUGGAAGGUAAGAUCAUUUUAUUCUGUCUUUUUUAUGCCAUCCCAUUUUUUCUUUUGUAAUUCAGGAUAAUCAUUAAUGUCCUUGUUCUCGUGUGCUUCAUCUCUUGGCAAGUGUAUGAGGUAUUUGAGGUUGAGAUGCCAGUAGCUGUCCUUCUGUUUCGAGUACACGCAUUUUGUUGACUUGCUUGUUAUUCUUGGGAAAAGGGCACAGCCACUGA
rnacentral:lncRNA from 1 species